UACUUAGAAGACUCCUUGGUAGACCUAAAAAGCAGAGGAGGAGAGAUCCAAAGGAGACUAAGAAUCUAUGUAGGUGGUCUAACAUGGGGAGAACAAUGACUUGCUUUUAAGUGUCAUAUGGUUGGUUAUAACAAAAGCACAUGCAAAGUCCAACUACAGCUGCUAUUAGUAGCUAAGAGAGGAAGAAGAACCAAGGUACAAGUAAUG
rnacentral:lncRNA from 1 species